AGGCCAAGUCCUUUCUUAUCAGUCUCAUGUUAAGCCUGCAGAUGUCCAGAUGUUUACAUCUCUCUCUCUCUGGCCUCAAAACUGACAUGGAAAAUCAGGGGAAAUACAGCAUACCUGAGCCAGAAUGAUUAGCUUGCUGUGGACUCAUUCUCGUCUCUCAUAUUUGGUCAUACAUAUAUGCUUCCAGACAGAAUCAGACAUAGGAAUUGGGUACAAUGACUUCUUCCUGUUUCUAGAAGACUUUUGAUUGGCAGUUUAUUGGGACAGACAUGAUGCCACUUCCCAUCUGGAGCAGUGUGAAGAGUAAUAGAAAAAUUUGACAUAGCAAUGUAGCUGAGAAGCCUUGAAGAACUGUCUCCCAACAUCCGAACAAUCCUGAACUUUCAAGUCAGCAUUGUAAUGUGCAGGAUGACAUGUAAAGAAAUGCAUCACCACUUUCUUGCUGGAAUGCCAGAAGGAUUCUGUAAGCAAGAAGCCAAUGGGGAUGAAAACAUCACUAUUGUAAACAAAAGUGCUUUUGCAACUGGCCAAACUAGAAAACAAGUAAUUUUAGUUCUGUCUUGUUUUCAUUUCUUUUGGUAGGCUACUAGAGGCAAAUGGAUGCUAUGAAUGAAUCAGUCCAGGAGCUCACAAAUCAAAAGACGGCAUUAUAAUAUCAUGUGGCAAAUUCCAAUUGAGUGAGAGAGCCAGAAAUGAGUUUAAAAAAAACCCACAGAUGAGUGAAUCAUGUAAUCCAAGGCUAAGUCAGGACAGGAACAAGUGACUCAUGUGGUUUAAGCCACUAUUUGCAUGACCCCCCCCCCCCCAAGAACACUGCUCUUUUCUCCUGUAUAUUCCCCAUGAAGGAGAGGGAAGAGACAACCUUCAUUUUCUUCUGCUCUGUAACACCUUGGCACCACAGUCACCGUGGGAUGAAAAUGAAUCCUCUUUGAUGACUGCUGUUCAAGUAACUGCAGGUUCUUCUAAAAAAAGCACUGGAUCUAUUGGUUUCUCACUCACCACUUUGUUAAGCAGUCAUUAGUAAAACUCAGAGGGGAAAUCUACUGCUCAGGUUUGGCUCUGGUAACUUUUGAUCUGGAUAUUUUUUAUUUUUAGAUAAAGCAAAUAAUCUGUAGAUAAUUUGUGGAUGUAUCUCCUGGUAUUUUAGCAGUCUUAAAGAAGACAGUUGAGGGCCUAAAUACUCUAAAGGUACUGGAUCCCAUUCAGCCUUCGAUGCUAAGCAGCUCUAUCCUAAGGGCCCUUCCACACAGCCCUAUAUCCCAGAAUAUCAAGGCAGAAAAUCCCACAUUAUCUAAGUAUGGACUCAGACAACCCAGUUCAAAGCAGAUAUUGUGGGAUUUUUUGCCUCAAUAUUCUGAUAUAGGGCUGUGUGGUAGGGCCCUUAGCUAGUACUGUGAUGAGAGAUCACCAAUGAAUAUCAGGUGCUGUAGAUACAAUAGCUUUAAAUGACUAUCCAGGAAAAUUUAGCACUAUUGUAUUUUGCCUUUAUUAAGGGUUUUCUUAUUGAACUACUAUCAAUAUAAAUAUAAGCAGAAGUUAUUCUGUGGAUUUGUCCAGUGUAAAAGAAUAUAUAUCAACAAUGAUACACUUAAAUACCUAGCACUUUGUAGAAGGUGAAAUACAGAACACACAUGAAAUCUUAUCGCCUGUCUAUUCUGAUCUAUCACCACUCUAUUUUAACUAUUGACUGCAGUGACUGGAAGUACUAGCUUUCUUGACUCUCAGGAAUGGACACCUAGAGAGGAGAUAUGGAAGAAAGACUUCUUGGCCACCCAUCAGUUUUGGUCUACUCUGGCGAUUUGUCUACCAAAAAUGUGCAUCUUCAAUGAAAUAUUAUUCUUAUUUGAUACGCCAUUUUCUGACUUCUUGAGCAAGAAAGAAGAAAAUAUAACCACAGAAUAUAUUAUUUUCAAAAAUACCUUUCAUUUUUUUCAAAACUAUUGCAUUAACUGAGUUUACUUGCAGGUAAGUAGAUAUACAAUGGCUGCCUUAGGUCUGUAUUCAGUAUUAAACUAUGGUGACCCUAUAAAAAACAUGAGGACUUAAGCAAUACUUGUUGAUUUAGUAGAUCUACACUAGUCAAGAUUAAACAAUUAGAUUGAAGCCUUGGAAACAUACAAUACAUUUUUCUUUUAUAAGGAAACUUUUGGUGAAAACUCACAUGCUCCAGCUAGAGAAUUAAAUACUGUAAGCCUUCUUACUCUAUAUGAGAAAUGUUUACAGCUAUUCAUAUGCUAGAAACAACUUCCCAUAGGAAGUAUGCACAUGUAAUUGCAGAUAACACUUUAUUAACUAUUCACUUAAAUAUGUUCUAGUUCUAUAUGACAAAUAAAUAUAAAGUAAAAUAUGAAAAAAUAUUAUGAUUGAAAACAUAAAUUCAUGUGACCUCACCCACUUGGGGCUUUGGCCCCGCAGCAACAUUGUAGGAUGGAGCCCUGAGAACAUGGGUGUGUUCUCAUUAACUAAGUUGGGGACAGCACAGGGGGAAGCCGGGCAGUGAUGGUUUUCCCGAGUGAUGGGGAAUGGGGUGAUGCAACUGAUGGGGGACACUUAGCAGUGGUUUGUCCCGCUGCCUGAUAGAUUCCCCCAACUGCCCUCCAGCUUAGAUUUGAUUUAUCUAUGUGUUGUUCUAUCAUUCAACAAUUUAUUUUAAUGGGGUUAUUCUAGUUUGGCUUAAUGUAUGCCCCUUCUACACAGAUGUAUGAAAUCCAGAUUAUCUGCUUUGAACUAGAUUAUAUGGCAGUGUAGCCUCAGAUAAUCCCAUUCAAAGCAAAUAAUGUGGAUGACAAAAGUAUAAAAUUGGUGGAUGUAACUCAUUAGCUACUUGCUGUCUAAAUAGUGGUGCAUUAAUAACAAGUUGUUAUAUAAUGAUAGCUGGUCACUCCAUUUUUUGAGUUAGUACAACUUAUGUGAUCAUAACCCACUUUCGAUUACUUUGACAAGGUUGUGUUGCUUAAAAGGUGGUGGUGGUGAUUUUGGUUGACAUGUAAUCCACAAUAACAAAAAAGUGGGCUAUAAUACUGAUAACCAAAAAAGAUUCCAACAAAGAACUCUGAGCAUUUCCACAUAGAACAAUUUUUAUCUCCCA
rnacentral:lncRNA from 11 species